rnacentral:rRNA from 1 species
GUCCACGCCUAACGAUGUCAACUGGUUGUUGGGAAGGUUUCUUCUCAGUAACGUAGCUAACGCGUGAAGUUGACCGCCUGGGAGUACGGCCGCAAGGUUGAACUCAAAGGAAUUGACGGGACCCGCACAAGCGGUGGAUGAUGUGGUUUAAUUCGAUGCAACGCGAAACCUUACCUACCCUUGACAUGUCUGGAAUUUUGCAGAGAUGUGAAAGUGCUCGAAAGAGAACCAGAACACAGGUGCUGCAUGGCCGUCGU